rnacentral:rRNA from 1 species
CUGGGUUUGACAUGCACUGGAAGCAUCCAGAGAUGGGUGUGCCCUUGUGGCCGGUGCACAGGUGGUGCAUGGCUGUCGUCAGCUCGUGUCGUGAGAUGUUGGGUUAAGUCCCGCAACGAGCGCAACCCUCGUUCCAUGUUGCCAGCACGCCCUUCGGGGUGGUGGGGACUCAUGGGAGACUGCCGGGGUCAACUCGGAGGAAGGUGGGGAUGACGUCAAGUCAUCAUGCCCCUUAUGUCCAGGGCUUCACGCAUGCUACAAUGGCCGGUACAGAGGGCUGCGAUCCCGUGAGGGGGAGCGAAUCCCAAAAAGCCGGUCUCAGUUCGGAUUGGGGUCUGCAACUCGACCCCAUGAAGUCGGAGUCGCUAGUAAUCGCAGAUCAGCAACGCUGCGGUGAAUACGUUCCC